AUGUCUGGUCACAGAUCCAGCUGGUAGAGACUGGAGGGGGAAUCGAAACGUCUGGGGGAUCUCUCCGCCUCUCCUGCAAAGCCUCUGGAUUCACCUUUAGGAACUACUGUGUGAACUGGGUCCGUCAGGCGCCGGGGAAAGGACUGGAGUGGGUCUCAGAGAUACACAAUCCUGCUCAUAAUUCAGCAGCAUAUUACAGUGAUGCGGUUAAAGGGCGAUUCACCAGCUCCAGAGACGAGUCCCGCAGCUCGGUGUAUCUCCAAAUGAACAGCCUGAGAGCCGAAGACACCGCCCGGUAUUACUGU